CGGGGUGUGGCGCAGUUGGUAGCGCGCGCGGUUCGGGACUGCGAGGUCGCCUGUUCAAGUCAGGUCACCCCGACCA
rnacentral:tRNA from 1 species